AUACAGUUGACGAGUCCCAAGUAGGACGAAACGCGUGUGUCCUGGAU
rnacentral:hammerhead_ribozyme from 1 species